GUGCAUCAGCCAGAGGCUCACAGUUGAGCCCACUGGAGAAUUGGUGGUAAUGGAGAGAGAUUUAGAGACUUAAAAACAACAGUAGGAUGACACAGACCCAACUAGCGAGACAAUUCCAAGAAAAAAUAUAUGAUGGAACAGAAGUUUUGAUGUCAUGUAUUGACAAACGCCUGCAACAAUAGCUAUAUAUUACCACCAAGAUCAGAGACCUGGCACCAAUGAAUAACAGUUGUUGAGGGACAGCAUCAAGAAAGGUCCCAUGUCCUGCCAGACCAGCCUACUGAGCAAGUAACAUGGAAUGUAUUCGACUCUCCACUGGGGCAACAGCAGCUGCCAGCCUUGUGUUUCUUUUGGGGCUAAAUCCCUCCCCACCCCACCCCACCCAAGAUUUUUCAACCUGCCUUCUCUCCCCCACAUUGAUACAGUGCUGGGUUUGGGGGAGGGGAGGGGCAGGAUGAGAAAUUUUUUAACAGCGCAAAACUGAUGUGGAGUUUGAACAUAAGGCAACGAUCCAUUUGCGGAACGCAAACUGUAAUGCUCAAAGAGUGACAUGGAUUUUCAAGGUGAGGGGCAGUGCUGGCCCUGAAAAUGAAACAAGAGGGUUUGGGGAAAGAGACCCAAGUUAAAGACCUGUCAAGAAGGUUCAAAUGAAUAACCGUGUUUGAUUUAAGAUUUUACAGUGACUGACUUCCAAAACUUUAGGCUUCAUAUUAAAAGACAAGAAAGUGGACUGA